AUUGAACGCUGGCGGCAGGCCUAACACAUGCAAGUCGAACGAGUGGCGGACGGGUGAGUAAUGUCUGGGAAACUGCCUGAUGGAGGGGGAUAACUUCUGGAAACGGUAGCUAAUACCGCAUACCAUCAGAUGUGCCCAGAUGGGAUUAGCUUGUGGGUGGGGUAACGUCUCACCAAGGCGACGUUCCCUAGCUGGUCUGAGAGGAUGACCAGCCAGACUGGAACUGAGACACGGGCCAGACGCCUACGGGAGGCAGCAGUGGGGAAUGUUGCACAAUGGGCGCAAGCCGGAUGCGGCCAUGCCGCGUGUAUGAAGAAGGCCUUCGAGUUGUAAAGUACUGUCAGCGGGGAGGCGUUACCCGCAGAAGAAGCACCGGCUAACUCCGUGCCAGCAGCCGCGGUAAUAC
rnacentral:rRNA from 1 species